UACGUAGGGCGCAAGCGUUGUCCGGAAUUAUUGGGCGUAAAGAGCUCGUAGGCGGCCUGUUGCGUCCGCUGUGAAAUCCCGGGGCUCAACCCCGGGCCUGCAGUGGAUACGGGCUGGCUAGAGGCAGGCAGGGGGAGAACGGAAUUCCUGGUGUAGCGGUGAAAUGCGCAGAUAUCAGGAGGAACACCGGUGGCGAAGGCGGUUCUCUGGGCCUGUACUGACGCUGAGGAGCGAAAGCGUGGGGAGCAAACGGG
rnacentral:rRNA from 1 species